CGAAAGCCUGACGGAGCAACGCCGCGUGAGGGAGGAAGGUCUUUGGAUUGUAAACCUCUUUUCUCAAGGAAGAUAAUGACGGUACUUGAGGAAUCAGCAUCGGCUAACUCCGUGCCAGCAGCCGCGGUAAUACGGGGGAUGCAAGCGUUAUCCGGAAUUAUUGGGCGUAAAGCGUCCGUAGGCGGCCAGAUAAGUCUGUUGUUAAAGCGUGCAGCUCAACUGCAUAUGGGCAAUGGAAACUAUUUGGCUAGAGUGUGGUAGGGGUAGAGGGAAUUCCCGGUGUAGCGGUGAAAUGCGUAGAUAUCGGGAAGAACACCAGUGGCGAAAGCGCUCUGCUGGGCCACAACUGACGCUGAUGGACGAAAGCUAGGGGAGCG
rnacentral:rRNA from 1 species